rnacentral:rRNA from 1 species
UGAUAAUUUAUUAAAGGGCUGCAGUAUUUUGACUGUACAAAGGUAGCAUAAUCAUUUGUCUCUUAAUUGGUGACUUGUAUGAAAGAUUGAAUGAAAUAUGAGCUGUCUCAUUAUAAAAAAUAAAAUUUAAUUUUUUAGUUAAAAAGCUAAAAUAAUUUUAAAAGACGAGAAGACCCUAUAGAGUUUAAUAGUUUUUUUUAAUGUAAGUAAAAUAUAAAAAUUUAAAUUUAAAUUAAGAUAAUUAUUUUGUUGGGGUGAUAGAAAAAUUAAAUUAACUUUUUUUAAAAAUAAACAUAAAUAAGUGGUUAAAUGAUCCAUUAAUAAUGAUUAUAAGAAAAAAUUACCUUAGGGAUAACAGCGUAAUUUUUUUUUUUAGGUCAAAUAAAAAAAAAAGUUUGCGACCUCGAUGUUGGAUUAAGAUAAAAUUUAAAUGCAAAAGUUUAAAGUUUUGACCGGUUCGAUCAUUAAAA